AAGUCGUAACAAGGUUUCCGUAGGGUAUGUUCUCCCUAUCCCUCCUUGUUGACCACUGCUAACAUUCACAGUGAACCUGCGGAAGGAUCAUUAGAAAGCACCUGGUAGGAAUCGCCGGGGGUCUCUCCCGGUCUCCGUCCAGGGGCCAUUCUACUCAUUGUCUUUAUAUCCAUGCUUUGGCAUCUGCCACUAGCUCCCCCAUUCUUGUUGUCGGUCCCAAUCUUUAACCAAUAAA
rnacentral:misc_RNA from 1 species